GAUGAACGCUGGCGGCGUGCCUAAUACAUGCAAGUCGAGCGAACGGACGAGAAGCUUGCUUCUCUGAUGUUAGCGGCGGACGGGUGAGUAACACGUGGAUAACCUACCUAUAAGACUGGGAUAACUUCGGGAAACCGGAGCUAAUACCGGAUGAUAUUUUGAACCGCAUGGUUCAAAAGUGAAAGACGGUCUUGCUGUCACUUAUAGAUGGAUCCGCGCUGCAUUAGCUAGUUGGUAAGGUAACGGCUUACCAAGGCAACGAUGCAUAGCCGACCUGAGAGGGUGAUCGGCCACUCUGGAACUGAGACACGGUCCAGACUCCUACGGGAGGCAGCAGUAGGGAAUCUUCCGCAAUGGGCGAAAGCCUGACGGAGCAACGCCGCGUGAGUGAUGAAGGUCUUCGGAUCGUAAAACUCUGUUAUUAGGGAAGAACAUAUGUGUAAGUAACUGUGCACAUCUUGACGGUACCUAAUCAGAAAGCCACGGCUAACUACGUG
rnacentral:rRNA from 1 species